CAAACGACUCUCGGCAACGGAUAUCUCGGCUCACGCAUCGAUGAAGAACGUAGCAAAAUGCGAUACUUGGUGUGAAUUGCAGAAUCCCGUGAACCAUCGAGUUUUUGAACGCAAGUUGCGCCCGAAACCAUCCGGUUGAGGGCACGCCUGCCUGGGCGUCACGC
rnacentral:rRNA from 9 species